rnacentral:rRNA from 1 species
GUCAGCAAGGGCAAGUGUUCACAGACAUUGGGCGUAAAGGGUUGGUAGGCGGUGUGGAAAUCCCCCCGGUGAAAGCCGUCUUGGCCGACGAGAGCCGGGGGCGAUCCACGCUUGAAGGCGAGAGAGGGUGGCGGAACGGAGGAAGGACGGUUGAAAUCGACUGAGAUCCUCCAGAACACCAGUGGCGAAGGCGGCCACCUGGCUCGCACUUGACGCUGAUCAACGAAGGUAGGAGGAUCAAAAGGG